GACAGAGGGUGCAAACGUUGUUCGGAAUUACUGGGCGUAAAGCGCGUGUAGGCGGCCCUGCAAGUCGGAUGUGAAAUCCCACGGCUCAACCGUGGAAGUGCAUUCGAAACUGCAGGGCUAGAGUCCUGGAGAGGAAGGUGGAAUGCUUGGUGUAGAGGUGAAAUUCGUAGAUAUCAAGCGGAACACCGGUGGCGAAGGCG
rnacentral:rRNA from 1 species